rnacentral:rRNA from 2 species
CCUACGGGAGGCAGCAGUGGGGAAUAUUGGACAAUGGGCGAAAGCCUGAUCCAGCAAUGCCGCGUGAGUGAUGAAGGCCCUAGGGUUGUAAAGCUCUUUUACCCGGGAUGAUAAUGACAGUACCGGGAGAAUAAGCCCCGGCUAACUCCGUGCCAGCAGCCGCGGUAAU